GGCUGUAUCUUGGCAAUCGCUGUAUUGCAUAGGCAAUGCAGAGGAAAGUCCGAACAUCAUAGGGCAGGGUGCCGGACAAGAUGUUUCAUCAAGUUCGGGCAAAAAGGCUGAAGAGCCUUUUUGACAGAAAGUGCAACAGAAAGCAAACCGCCAUUCCGUUGGAAUUGGUAAGGGUGAAACGGUGGUGUAAGAGACCACCAGGCAAUGUGGUAACACGUUGUGCUCGGUAAACCUCCCCGGUGCAAGGCUAAGUAAGAAAGCUUCCUUUUGGGAAAGAGCUGCCCGCUCAAUUUACUUCGGUAAAAGUUUUCGGGUGAGCCGCAUUAGAUAAAUGGUUGCCGACUGCUUCAUUAUUGAAGUAGUACAGAAUUCGGCUUAAAAGAUGCAGCUUUGC
rnacentral:RNase_P_RNA from 21 species